rnacentral:rRNA from 1 species
GAUGAACGCUGGCGGCGUGCCUAAUACAUGCAAGUCGAGCGCAGCGGGGACGGGUGAGUCACACGUGGAUAACCUCCUAUAAGACUGGGGUAACUUCGGGAAACCGGAGCUAAACCGGAUACUUAUCUAUGGAUCCGCGCUGCAUUAGCUAGUUGGUAAGGUAACGGAUUAACUAGGCAACGAUGCAGAGCCUAACUGAGAGGGUGAUCGGACAAACUGGAACUGAGACACGGUCCAGACUCCUACGGGAGGCAGAAGUAGGGAAUCUUCCGCAAUGGGCGAAAGCCUGACGGAGCAAAGCAGCGUGAGUGAUGAAGGUCUUCGGAUCGUAAAACUCUGUUAUUAGGGAAGCGGUACCUAAUCAGAAAGCCACGGCUAACUACGUGCCAGCAGCCGCGGUAAUAC